GAGAGUUCAAAACAGACACACUGAGACAGUUGAAGGGCCUUGUUCCUGUCUUUCAGGGAGAUCAGAGAGGUUACCUCAAGUGGCUUGGUUUUGUUUGAGCCUAGGGAGAGUUGGCCUACCUGUUCCCUGAGAGCCAAAGGUUCCUGCUUUCCUGUUUGUCCAGCUAUCCUGAGAUCCUGAUAUUCUGGUGGGAGAUCCUGUCAAUCCUUGUCUCCAAUUUCCAUCUACCCGAGUUCCUGUGUCCUGAGUGUUUGCUGAUUGCUGAGAGAAAACUGCCAGGACCCAGUAAAGACUGUGAGAAAAGCCCAGAGUCAUCUGGGGCCUUUGACAAACUUUAAAGUUAUCAUCUAUCUCACAAACUUUAAACUUGUCCACCAUUAAUUUGGAGGACCAGUUAGGUCAGAUAAGUUAGAUAGUGUGGGUUUAUAGAUAGAAUAGUGAAAGGCAGCCAGAAGAUCUUUGAAGAUGGUCACCCAGAGAACUGGGAGGGUGGAGUAUACAGAGUUUAGAGGUAGGGACUCCUUGGUUCCUGGUCCUCCCUUCCUCGUCUACAUGAAAAGAUACUUGAAGAACCGUAGGACACUUCUUUCCCAGAAUUCAGGGAAUUGAAUUCAAGCCUUCUUGCAUCUUGGAAAGUUCCUAGUUUUUCAUCCAAUUAGAUAUCAGAUUAUCUAAUAUUGAAUUGUUUCCUUUUAAUUAACUGGUCUUUUAAAAUUGAUUUUAAUUGUAUUUAUUUCCCCCAUGGUCUGGGUUUAGCCUUAAAAUAAGGAAAAGGUCCGGUUUUGUUAGUCGAUUGGCAUGCUUUGCUUAAUAAACUGAAUAUGCUCAGAUCAAA